AUUGAACGCUGGCGGAAUGCUUUACACAUGCAAGUCGAACGGCAGCACGGACUUCGGUCUGGUGGCGAGUGGCGAACGGGUGAGUAAUACAUCGGAACGUGCCCAGUCGUGGGGGAUAACGUAGCGAAAGCUACGCUAAUACCGCAUACGAUCUAAGGAUGAAAGCGGGGGAUCGCAAGACCUCGCGCGAUUGGAGCGGCCGAUGGCAGAUUAGGUAGUUGGGGGGGUAAAGGCUCACCAAGCCGAGGAUCUGUAGCUGGUCUGAGAGGACGACCAGCCACACUGGGACUGAGACACGGCCCAGACUCCUACGGGAGGCAGCAGUGGGGAAUUUUGGACAAUGGGCGCAAGCCUGAUCCAGCCAUUCCGCGUGCAGGAUGAAGGCCCUCGGGUUGUAAACUGCUUUUGUACGGAACGAAAAGGCUCUGGUUAAUACCCGGGGCUCAUGACGGUACCGUAAGAAUAAGCACCGGCUAACUACGUGCCAGCAGCCGCAGUAAUAC
rnacentral:rRNA from 1 species